CCCCUCCAGCCAACCUGUCUCCACUCCCACUCUCCCAUCCCCCCAACCCCCUGCAGCCAACCUGUCUCCACUCCCAUCCCCCAACCCCCUCCAGCCAACCUGUCUCCACUCCCACUCUCCCAUCCCCCCAACCCCCUCCAGCCAACAUGUCUCCACUCCCAGUCCUGUUCUGUGACCUUGGGCUUCUACUUCGCGCCUGAGCCAUUGUUACUCCUAGACGUUUCCACUUCAUAAUAACAGUACUUACAGUUGACCGGGCAGGGAGCUCUAGCAGGGCAGCUCUAGCAGGGCAGCUCUAGCAGGGCAGAAAUUUGAUGAACUGACUUGUUGGAAAGGUGGCAUCCUAUGAUGGUGCCACGUUGAAGGUCACUAAGCGCUUCAGUAAGGCCAUUCUACUGCCAAUGUUUGUCUAUGGAGAUUGCAUGUCUGUGUGCUCGAUUGUAUACACCUGUCAGCAACAGGUGUGGCUGAAAUAGCCAAAUCCACUCAUUUGAAGGGGUGUCCACAUACUUUUGUAUAUAGAGAGUAUUUAAGACAUUGGCUCCAAUCUAGGUUGUGCCUUUAGAUUAGGAGAAAAUUAACAACUAAGGAAGAAUUCUUCACUUCUCUCAUUGACUUGUCAAACCCCCAAACCCUGGCCUGGUCCUCUUGGUCUGUUUCACAAGCGUUCCCGGAAGUCUCUGAUGUUGCGCUUCUGGGUCCAGAAACUGUGAUUUUUCUGUUACUGCUUUUGCCAAAGUAUAUUUACGGUAUUUCGAUACAAUUGAGGCUUUCAGUCCAUAUUUAUACGUCUUUAUUAGUGGUUUUUUUUCAUCUGUUUUGUAUUUAUUACAGUUUUUUUUUUACUACAAAGUAUUGUGUAUUUGACUCGCCUGUGGUGCCAGGUAAUAUUGAACGUUCAGACAUCGUGGGCGGCAGGUAGCCUAGCGGUUUCGAUCGUUGCGCCACAUGUUGAAUAUGUUCAGUAGUUCUCCAAAUCCUGAAGCUACUUUUCCUUGAUACAUGUUGAAUUUGGAUUACAUUUGGGAUUUUUUGGUUUGUUGUACCAAAACUCCCUGUACUGUGUACUUUAUAACUGAGCUUCAUGUCCAGUUUUUUUCAUAACGCUCUCAUUGCCACAAAUCAUAUAAGAUACUUCAAAAUAUAUAAUAAUUACUUAGAACUUUUAUUUAUACUCAUUCAUUUCCUAAUACUUCCAAACAUGUUGUUGAACUGUAUUGUAAAAUAUGAUUCUGCUUGUUACAUGUAAGGGCAUAAGAGGAGGUAGAGGAAGAGGUAGAGGUAGAGGAGGUAGAGGUAGAGGUAGAGGUAGAGGUAGUGGUAGAGGUAGAGGUAGAGGAGGUAGAGGAGGUAGUGGUAGAGGUAGAGGAGGUAGAGGUAGUGGUAGAGGUAGAGGUAGAGGAGGUAGAGGUAGAGGUGGUAGCGGUAGAGGUAGAGGAGGUAGAGGUAGAGGAGGUAGAGGAGGUAGAGGUAGAGGUAGUGGUAGAGGUAGAGGAGGUAGAGGUAGUGGUAGAAGUAGUGGGAAAGGAGGUAGAGGUAGAGGUAGAGGUAGUGGUAGAGGAGGUAGAGGUAGUGGUAGAGGUAGAGGUAGAGGUACUCAAUCAUUCAAAGACACCUGCUGUGUGCCUCAAUGUGUGAAGAUCAGGAAUCUGCAAUGUUUGGGGAUUUUACCAACUAUCUUUACUGCAAUAUACAUACUUAAAAAAAAAGAGUCUUUCCUUGAAAUCUACAGGAACUUGUUGGACCGUUUUCUGAAAUAAUGAAACAUGCAAACAUGUUCCAGACAUUAUGUGAGUGUUACUAUAAAUAUGGGGUAUACAGUACAAACAUGCACAAAAGGGUUAUUUUAAUUUUGAUGGGAGACGUAUAAACAAUGUAAACAGUGCUAGGUGUAGGGAAUAGGGAGCAGUUUCACCCCCUAGGUCUCUGUGUAGGGAAUAGGGAGCAGUUUCACCCCCUAGGUCUCUGUGUAGGGAAUAGGGAGCCGUUUCACACCCUAGGUCUCUGUGUAGGGAAUAGGGAGCAGUUUCACCCCCUAGGUCUCUGUGUAGGGAAUAGGGAGCAGUUUCACCCCCUAGGUCUCUGUGUAGGGAAUAGGGAGCAGUUUCACCCCCUAGGUCUCUGUGUAGGGAAUAGGGAGCCGUUUCACACCCUAGGUCUCUGUGUAGGGAAUAGGGAGCCGUUUCACACCCUAGGUCUCUGUUGAGAGAAACGUAAUUUGAAUCAUCAGUACAGUAAGGGGAUCUUGUUACAGUGAAACAGACGGAAACGGCCUGGAUACAAAAAAUAAAAAAUAAAAACAUUUGCAAAAAAGGUGCAAGUGAUGCUUUUUGAAGUAAAUGAUAGGCUGGCUAAGCCAAACAGUUAUAAUGUGGCACAAUUAUUUCCUGUUUUUCAUGAAUUCGAAAACUUUGUAUGUUUUAUUGUCAACAGGAGUAUUACUGUAAUUAUUAUUAUUAUUAUUAUUGAUUAUUGUUAUGACUAUUACUAAUAUUAGUGGCAGGCCACUGGGUAACAUUGUAUGUCGAUAUCCAAAUGAAAUCUGUGCAAGAUAAUGAUGCAAAAUGUUUAUGAGUUUUUAAAAACAAAUAAAAAAGGUAGACUACAGGACUGUGUCAUUACGGUUGUUGUAACUGUGAAACUCUGAGAUUAACAAAUAGUUGAUCUAAAUCAAUUAUUCAAUUAAUCAAUCAAAAUCAAUUAUGACACCUUUUAUAUGGGGUGGUUGGUAGCCUAGUUAUUAAAGCGUUGGACUAGUAACCCGAAAGGUUACUAGAUCAAAAUCCCCGAGCUGACAAGUUAAAAAUCUGUCGUUUCUGACCCUGAACAAGGGUCCCCUGGUAGGCAGUCAUUGUAAAUAAGAAUUUGUUCUUAACUGACUUGCCUAGUUCAAUAAAGGUUAAAUACAAAAAAAAAAGAUCAAUGUGUUUACUUUUUCCAUGUGUCAUCAGUAGGCCUACUGGAAUACAUUUGAAAAACAGGAAAGAAGAG
rnacentral:lncRNA from 1 species